AACGAACGCUGGCGGCAGGCCUAACACAUGCAAGUCGAACGGGCGUAGCAAUACGUCAGUGGCGCACGGGUGAGUAACGCGUGGGUACCUGUCUGAUGGUAGGGGAUAACCGCGGGAAACUGCGGCCAAUACCCUAUGUGUCCUUCGGGACAAAGAUUUAUCGCCAUCAGGUGGGCCCGCGUAGGAUUAGCUAGUUGGUGAGGUAACGGCUCACCAAGGCGACGAUCCUUAGCUGGUCUGAGAGGACGAGCAGCCACACUGGGACUGAGACACGGCCCAGACUCCUACGGGAGGCAGCAGUGGGGAAUAUUGGACAAUGGGGGCAACCCUGAUCCAGCCAUGCCGCGUGAGUGAUGAAGGCCUUCGGGUUGUAAAGCUCUUUUAGCGGGGACGAUGAUGACGGUACCCGCAGAAUAAGCUCCGGCUAACUUCGUGCCAGCAGCCGCAGUAAAAC
rnacentral:rRNA from 1 species